rnacentral:rRNA from 1 species
UACGGGGGGGGCAAGCGUUGUUCGGAAUUACUGGGCGUAAAGGGCGCGUAGGCGGCCUGCUAAGUCGGACGUGAAAUCCCUCGGCUCAACCGGGGAACUGCGUCCGAUACUGGCGAGGCUUGAAUCCGGGAGAGGGAUGUGGAAUUCCAGGUGUAGCGGUGAAAUGCGUAGAUAUCAAGAGGAACACCUGAGGCGAAGGCGGGUUGCUUGUCUGACACUGACGCUGAGGCGCGAAAGCCAGGGGAGCAAACAGG